AUGGAUAUAUAUAACCUCCUUUGGGAGGUAUUAGAAUUUUAUUUGCCGGUUUUAGAUAGAUUCCGCCUCUCCACCUGAAAUUUGUUACUUUGCAAGAGCUUUUUCCUCCCACAAACCACAACGGAACUCAAAUUAAAGCAAAAGAGGAGGAGAGGAUGCAAACCAGGAACCGAAAACAUCAAUGGACUUGAAGCACUUUACAAGGGGAAAUAUUAUUAUUAUUCUUAGGCUGCAGUUAUAGACACACUGUUUUUAUAUCUAUCCCUCCCAACAACCACUCUGUGUGGUAAGUGGGGCUGAGAGACUUCAGAGAAGUGUGACUGGCCCAAGGUCACCCAGCAGCUGCAUGUGGAGGAGCGGAGAUGCAAACCCGGUUCACCAGAUUACGAGUCUACCACUCUUAACCACUACACCACACUGGCUCUCCAGUCAACACAUUUGUUUUUGAGUAAAUAUGUUAUAGGAUUGGCCUCCACAGAAUUGCAGGACUAAUCGCCACAGAUAGCACACUGAAACUCAAAGAGUGACUUUGCCACUGAGACCAUCCCUGGCUGAGAUGAGAGAUGAGCUUUUUUUCGAGCACAACUUUCUACCACUUUAGUAAGACCAUCAGUGAGAGAGGAAGCAGAAGUCAGACAUUAUCAUUCCUGGAUAUAGCCUCCUGCCUGCUAGCCAUCAACUGCCAUCACCGUCUGCUGGGAGAGGAAGUUGCAGCUUUUCCAUUGUUCCUUGACCUGCUGAUGGAGGUUUUUCCCCUUCUCCUUCCCAAUCCAUUUCCUUUUGUGCUGCCUUUUGAGACUGUAAACGUGAAGGUGGGGACUGUUUUAUUUCUGACCUUUGUAAGCAGCCCAGGGAGUCUUUUGUAACUUGAAAAGUGAGGCAAAAAUGCUCUUUUUUUUUAAAAAAAGGAACAAGCCUAGCCCCCAUUCAUUUUGUGUAAUGGCGAUUGCCCCAUAUUGCAUCAGUUUAUUUCAUAAGAAUGCGGUUUUUUGGAUGACGUACUUCUUUUUCUCAGUCCUAAGCUUACUCUCUGUUUGUAUUGUUGGGUGACCCUGCAUUGUACAACAACAACAAUUUAUUACUUAUACCCCGCCCAUCUGGCUGGGCCUCCCCAGCCACUCUGGGCG